UCGGAAAACGGAUUCUCUUCAAAAUUAAAGACGCACGCCAGUCGCCAAUUUGAAGGUGAGGCACGCCGUAGCAAAACCUACGUGCUUAACAAUAACGCCGCAACAAUCUCCGCCGGUCCGCCCUGCUACGAUCUCCGACCAUCCCCAGGUCAUACAUGAUCGAUAAUUUAGCGGGUCAAAGAUUUCAAUAUGAUGAUGAGUUGCAAAUAUUACUUGAAGAUUAUUAUUCGUUGGAAUUAGUGAUCUAAUGACAUUAGCUAAUUACUUCAAACAGUAUAUGCUUUUUUUUAAGUUACUGUGAUAUUAAUAUUUCGGAUUAGUACUUUCUUUUGUUUGUUAAAAUUUAAUGAGAUACAUUAUGUUUUUAUGAAUUAAUAUUAGUAUGUUUUGUUAUUUGGAA